GACGAACGCUGGCGGCGUGCCUAACACAUGCAAGUCGAACGAGGUCCAUCCUUCGGGAGAAGACCUAGUGGCGAACGGGUGAGUAACACGUGAAGAACCUGCCCCGAAGACCGGGAUAACCCUCCGAAAGGAGAGCUAAUACCGGAUACCCCACCGAACCGCAUGGUUUGGUGAGGAAAUGGAUUCCGCUUCGGGAGGGCUUCGCGGCCUAUCAGCUAGUUGGUGGGGUAACGGCCCACAAGGCAUCGACGGGUAGCUGGUCUGAGAGGACGAGUCAGCCACACUGGGACUGAGACACGGCCCAGACUCCUACGGGAGGCAGCAGUGGGGAAUCUUGCGCAAUGGGCGAAAGCCUGACGCAGCAACGCCGCGUGGGGGAUGAAGGCUCUCGGGUUGUAAACCCCUUUCAGCAGGGACGAAUCAAGACGGUACCUGCAGAAGAAGCCCCGGCUAACUACGUGCCAGCAGCCGCGGUAAU
rnacentral:rRNA from 1 species